AUGUGUAUGCCGUUCCAGUGGAAAUCAGGCACCAGUCAACUAAACAUGUACAUACAAUAACUUUCACGCUGCAAUUUUAUAUCCAUAUAUAUCAGAUACGUUUUACCAUAGUGAUGGAAAAGUUGAUACUUAGCAUCGUAGAUGCACGAAAAAUUUUCUCCGUCAGAAGUAGAUUUAGUGUAUCGCGUAUAUAAAGUAAAGGAGGAUGUGAAGCUUGUUUAAAUUGGUUUUUUUGAAGAAAAUAAAAGUUUAACGCGACAUAUUCCUGCAGCAAUGGAGAAGGUGUCUUACAGGUGCCUGUCUACCUACACACCUGACAUUUUACACCUGAACAUCAUUUCCGAGUGGUUUAAUUAACCGUAUAAUUAGACGGCUGACGUCUGACGCGGGAAUAAAAAGCAGCAACAAACGAGCUUAGUGGGUAUCGCUACUGGUUUUACCAUGUUAUCGGGGGAUGAAAAGCCAAAGGUCACUUGGCGCAGGGUAUUUUAUCUUAUAUGCAUGGAUAAUACAUAUGUCAGGCAGUACAUAAGACAGUAAAGGGGGAGGAUGAGUCAGUGCGUCGCGACGCCGGAUCAAUAUUAGCGACGAGGGUGUACGUAUGCAUUUAUACAUACGUAACACAUACCCUUUCCACCCUAAAAUCUCCCACCACUGCAAUCUUAAUUACUUUUCUCUCUGCGGCAGCUUGAGCCAAAGACCUUCUUUAAACCGGCUUGGUAAGGAAAAAUUCCGAAGUUUGUAUACAAUGUUGUGGGUAAUUAAUUGAUGGAAAAAAAAGAAUCGGUUUUUUCCUCACUCU